rnacentral:rRNA from 1 species
CCCUUAGAUGUCCGGGGCUGCACGCGCGCUACACUGAAGGAAUCAGCGUGCUAAAACCAUUGUCGAAAGGCAUUGGUAAACCCAUUAAAAUCCUACGUGAUUGGGAUCGGGAAUUGCAAUUAUUUCCCUUGAACGAGGAAUUCCCAGUAAGCGUGGGUCAUAAGCUCGCGUUGAUUACGUCCCUGCCCUUUGUACACACCGCCCGUCGCUGCCCGGGACUGAGCCGUUUCGAGAAAAGCGGGGACUGCUGCUGUCGGGGCUUUCGGGCCUUGGCUUCGGUGGAAACCGCUUUAAUCGCAGUGGCUUGAACCGGGCAAAAGUCGUANCA